ACGGGUGAGUAACACGUGGGUAACCUGCCUCAUAGAGGGGAAUAGCCUUCCGAAAGGAAGAUUAAUACCGCAUAAGAUUGUAGUGCCGCAUGGCAUAGCAAUUAAAGGAGUAAUCCGCUAUGAGAUGGACCCGCGUCGCAUUAGCUAGUUGGUGAGGUAACGGCUCACCAGGGCGACGAUGCGUAGCUGACCUGAGAGGGUGAUCGGCCACAUUGGGACUGAGACACGGCCCAGACUCCUACGGGAGGCAGCAGUGGGGAAUAUUGCACAAUGGGGGAAACCCUGAUGCAGCAACGCCGCGUGAGUGAUGACGGUCUUCGGAUUGUAAAGCUCUGUCUUCAGGGACGAUAAUGACGGUACCUGAGGAGGAAGCCACGGCUAACUACGUGCCAGCAGCCGCGGUAAUACGUAGGUGGCAAGCGUUGUCCGGAUUUACUGGGCGUAAAGGGAGCGUAGGUGGAUAUUUAAGUGGGAUGUGAAAUACUCGGGCUUAACCUGGGUGCUGCAUUCCAAACUGGAUAUCUAGAGUGCAGGAGAGGAAAGUAGAAUUCCUAGUGUAGCGGUGAAAUGCGUAGA
rnacentral:rRNA from 1 species